CAGCAGCCGCGGUAAUACGAAGGGUGCAAGCGUUAAUCGGAAUUACUGGGCGUAAAGCGUGCGUAGGCGGUGAGUUAAGUCUGCUGUGAAAUCCCCGGGCUCAACCUGGGAAUGGCAGUGGAUACUGGCUCGCUAGAGUGUGUCAGAGGAUGGUGGAAUUCCCGGUGUAGCGGUGAAAUGCGUAGAGAUCGGGAGGAACAUCAGUGGCGAAGGCGGCCAUCUGGGACAACACUGACGCUGAGGCACGAAAGCGUGGGGAGCAAACAGGAUUAGAGACCCCGGUAGUCCCUGUCUCUUAUAC
rnacentral:rRNA from 1 species